rnacentral:rRNA from 1 species
AUUGAACGCUGGCGGCAUGCCUUACACAUGCAAGUCGAACGGUAACAGGUCUUCGGAUGCUGACGAGUGGCGAACGGGUGAGUAAUACAUCGGAACGUGCCCGAUCGUGGGGGAUAACGAAGCGAAAGCUUUGCUAAUACCGCAUAAGAUCUAAGGAUGAAAGCAGGGGACCGCAAGGCCUUGCGCGAACGGAGCGGCCGAUGGCAGAUUAGGUGGUUGGUGGGAUAAAAGCUUACCAAGCCGACGAUCUGUAGCUGGUCUGAGAGGACGACCAGCCACACUGGGACUGAGACACGGCCCAGACUCCUACGGGAGGCAGCAGUGGGGAAUUUUGGACAAUGGGCGAAAGCCUGAUCCAGCCAUGCCGCGUGCAGGAUGAAGGCCUUCGGGUUGUAAACUGCUUUUGUACGGAACGAAAAGACUCUUUCUAAUAAAGAGGGUCCAUGACGGUACCGUAAGAAUAAGCACCGGCUAACUACGUGCCAGCAGCCGCAGUAAAAC